AGGAUAAACGCUGGCGGCGUGCCUAACACAUGCAAGUCGAACGCGCUUUCGGGCUUCGGUGCGAGAGCGAGUGGCGGACGGGUGAGUAACACAUGGGUACCUACCUUGGAGUGAGGGAUACCGGCGAGAAAUCGCCGACAAUACCGCAUAGGCUUCUUCACAAGGGAAGCAAAGUGACGCGAGUCACGCUUUGAGAUGGGCCUGUGGCCGAUUAGCUAGUUGGGGGGUAACGGCUUCCCAAGGCGACGAUCGGUAGCUGGUCUGAGAGGACGAUCAGCCACACUGGGAUUGAGAACGGCCCAGACUCCUACGGGGGGCAGCAGUGAGGAAUUUUCCGCAAUGGAGGCAACUCUGACGGAGCAACGCCGCGUGCAGGAGGAAGGUUUUCGGAUCGUAAACUGCUUUUCUCGGGGACGAGCAAGGACGGUACCGAGGAAGAAGCCCCGGCUAACUACGUGCCAGCAGCCGC
rnacentral:rRNA from 1 species